UCGACCGGUUCAGCUAUUCUGGAACUACUCGCGCUGACGGAUUUUGAGUUUGAUGCACGAAUUUCGAGAAAAUCCGAAAAUACGUGUUUUAUAUGUAUUUAUGUGUUAUUCCUUCUAUUGGAAAGAAGUUUGGAUUUUGUCGUGAAUCCGUGGUCGAUCGUGGUGAAACAAAAUCGUAGCUUUGUUGUCUCCGAGGUGCUGAUCGCACUGGUGCAAUCCGUUCGCAAAUCUGACAGACGGAUCUGCGGAGAUCGCACGUUGAUCGAGGUGAGGUCGGUGUUGGAAAAUGGGUAAUUUCGCAAAAAGUGCGAUAUUUUAUGUGCCGUUUCGCGUGAAUUUGUUUGUGAAGGUGUAUUCGCGCAUAUUUCACGCGUUGUGAAGGGCUGGGAUAGAAAUAUUCUUAUUAGAGGGG
rnacentral:lncRNA from 1 species